AACGCACAUUGCGCCCUUUAGUAUUCUGAAGGGCAUGCCUGUUCGAGCGUCAUUAUCACUAAUCAAGCUUGGCUUGCUAUUGGACUUGUGUCGUUAUUUUGACUAGUCUUAAAGAUAAUGACGGUGUCAUUGGGACUCUAGAUGCAACGAGCUUUCAUUAGCACGCUUCUAGUCAAGACCCUUUUGACCCGAUCUCUUAUAACCAAUUUCUUAAGGUUGACCUCGGAUCAGGUAGGAAUACCCGCUGAACUUAA
rnacentral:misc_RNA from 1 species